CUUCUACUUUACUUGGAAACCUUGUCCUGCUAGAGGGUCUGCAAGGGUGAUGCCCUGGCACAGAGCUGCCAACUCCUCUGCUCGGCUGCACUAGGGCUGAGGGAAUGCCAUUGCUUAUUUCUGCAAACCUCUCCAAAAUUCAGAUUGUUUUUGAACAAUUGUGCAUUUUGAAUACUUUCUCCAAUGAUAACUUCAGUUACAGGGAAAGCUGGAACACAAUUGCCCACUACCACAAAUUAUGCAUUUUUCCACAUUUGGGGAAGUCACAAGGUCAGAACAUCUGAAAUGCAGUGGAUAAGCCUCACCCUGGAAAAAAAAUACCUUCUUGACUAUGGUAUCUUACCUUCCAAGUAUCUAUGCCCCAAGAUAAUAAAAAUAAAACAAUAAAUUGAAACAAAUCUCAAGUGAUUGUAAUGAAAAUUGGCCAAAGUUCUUGCUGAUCCUAAUGUGUAGAAGAGCCAAUAUUAAACAUUUCAAAAGAAUUCGUGAGAAAAAGGUUUCAGUUUAAAGUCUGCCCCCAAGCAUUCACAUUAAAGAUUUAUUUUUUAUUUUA